rnacentral:rRNA from 1 species
GAUGAACGCUGGCGGCGUGCUUAACACAUGCAAGUCGAACGGAAAGGCCCAAGCUUGCUUGGGUACUCGAGUGGCGAACGGGUGAGUAACACGUGGGUGAUCUGCCCUGCACUUCGGGAUAAGCCUGGGAAACUGGGUCUAAUACUGGAUAGGACCACUUCUUGGAUGUUGUGGUGGAAAGUUUUUUCGGUGUGGGAUGAGCUCGCGGCCUAUCAGCUUGUUGGUGGGGUAAUGGCCUACCAAGGCGUCGACGGGUAGCCGGCCUGAGAGGGUGUACGGCCACAUUGGGACUGAGAUACGGCCCAGACUCCUACGGGAGGCAGCAGUGGGGAAUAUUGCACAAUGGGCGCAAGCCUGAUGCAGCGACGCCGCGUGGGGGAUGACGGCCUUCGGGUUGUAAACUCCGUUCGCUAGGGACGAAGCGUUUUGUGACGGUACCUGGAGAAGAAGCACCGGCUAACUACGUG